rnacentral:rRNA from 1 species
AGAAUCAACGCUGGCGGCGUGCCUCAGACAUGCAAGUCGAACGAUUAAAGCUCUCUUCGGAGAGUGUAUAGAGUGGCGCACGGGUGAGUAACACGUAAGUAAUCUACCUCGGGGUGGGGAAUAACGUUCGGAAACGAACGCUAAUACCGCAUAAUGCAGCGGCUUCUUAUGAAGACAGUUGUUAAAGCAUUUAUGUGCCUGGAGAGGAGCUUGCGGCAGAUUAGCUAGUUGGUAAGGUAAUGGCUUACCAAGGCGACGAUCUGUAGCCGACCUGAGAGGGUGGUCGGUCACACUGACACUGAAUAACGGGUCAGACUCCUACGGGAGGCAGCAGUCGGGAAUUUUGGGCAAUGGGCGAAAGCCUGACCCAGCAACGCCGCGUGAAGGAUGAAGUAUUUCGGUAUGUAAACUUCGUAAAAAUGGGAAGAAUAAAUGACGGUACCAUUUGUAAGGUCCGGCUAACUACGUGCCAGCAGCCGC